rnacentral:rRNA from 1 species
CCUACGGGUGGCAGCAGUGAGGAAUAUUGGUCAAUGGGCGGGAGCCUGAACCAGCCAAGUCGCGUGAGGGAAGACGGUCCUAUGGAUUGUAAACCUCUUUAGGCGGGGAGCAAUGCCGGGCACGCGUGCCCGGAGGGAGAGUACCCGCAGAAUAAGCAUCGGCUAACUCCGUGCCAGCAGCCGCGGUAAUACGGAGGAUGCGAGCGUUAUCCGGAUUUAUUGGGUUUAAAGGGUGCGUAGGCGGAUUUUUAAGUCAGCGGUAAAAUGUCCGGGCUCAACCCGGGCCGGCCGUUGAAACUGGGGAUCUUGAGUGGGCGAGAAGUAUGCGGAAUGCGUGGUGUAGCGGUGAAAUGCAUAGAUAUCAUGAAGAACUCCGAUCGCGAAGGCAAGUGUCCGGGGUGCAACUGACGCUGAGGCUCGAAAGUGCGGGUAUCAAACAGGAUUAGAUACCCGGGUAGUC